ensembl:lncRNA
GUGAAAUCAUUUGACAUUUAUUUCCUCAACAGGAAGCACUGGCUCAGAGGAGGUGGAAACCCCAGAAAUUAGUUCAGCUUAGGAGAUGAAAGUAGAGAAGUGGUUGCCAACCUGCAGUUUCUUCCUGAUGACAUUCCCCUAGGAGCAGGAGGGUGCUUCAGAGGUCAACUUCUGGAAACAGGAAACAGUGAUUAGCAAAUCAAUUCAUUAAGGUCCGGUGAGCCAUUGGAUUACAAAGAGCAGCUAUUUGUUAACUGAAGACAGAUCUCGGCCCCUGAUGAGAGCUCUGGUUCUUGGAGGAGGCAACCAAGACAACAGAGGAAGACAGUUGCAGGCCCUGCCAAUGUGUGAAAUUCCUGCAGCCCGGCUCCGCUGAUGACAGAAAUGACCGUAAUAAACCAGGGAGGCCACAAGUCAAACAAAUAGUUUGGUUGACAAAUAGGCGUAUAAACAAGACCUUGAUUAAUGAAUUUCCUAAUAGUUCUCUGUUUAUUGACUCAGCUUGGUCAUUAGGCCUGACAUUGCCCAUAUACUUUGUAUGGUACACUAUCUUCCAUUCAUUCUAAGACUCCUUUAUCAGUCUUUUUGUUGGGUAUUUUCUGUCUCUCAGUUUUGUCUCCUGGGUUGGACCAUGAGCCUCGAGCUCUGAGAACUCAUCAUGUGCUUAUUGAAAGGACAGCGAAGUUACGGAGCUCCCUAAAAUGAGAGAAGUGAGAAGGGCCUCCAACUGCAGCAUCCUAAGUCGUCAGCGCUGGCCUGGGAGCUGGGUUCUAGGGCCCUUUCAUUAUAACUUCCGUUGCCAUUUUCACUAAUCGCUUAAACCUGCUGUUUGGAUGCCUCCAUCUUCUGAGGUAAGGUGG